GGGGAGGGGACAGCGGCGGUGUCGCGGGGAGGGGACCGCGGCGGUGUCGCGGGCUGUCCCCGGUCCCACCUCGGUCCAGCUUGCUGUGACGCUCCAGGAAGGCGAACCAGUGGUGGCCGGUGGCGAUGGCGUCCCCCUCCCCGCUGGGGAUGUCCUCGCGACACGCGGACUUGAGCUGCUCCAGGUCCUCGGCCGUGAUGUUCUGGGCCAGCUCCUCCAGCAGACUGCGGUACUCGGCCAUGGCUGGGGACACGGGGGACAGGGGGGACAUCAGGGGACAGCAGGGGACAGCAGGGGACAGCAGGGGACAUCAGGGGACAGUGGGGACAUGGGGGACAUGAGGGACGUGGCCAUGGCUGGGGCUGGGGGGGACAUGGGACUUGGAGGAGGACCUGGCUGUGCUGGGGACAAGGGUGACACAAAGGCCAUGAGGGACAUGGGGGGACACAGGACUGGGACGUGGCUGGGGACGGGUGACAUGAGGGACAUGGCCACAGCUGGGGACAUCAGGGACAUCAGGGACAUGGGUGACAUGGGUGACAUGAGGGACAGGGGACACAGCCAUGGCUGGGGGACACAGGGUGUGAGGGACAGGGGACACUGCCACGCGUGUCACGGGUGUCCCCAGCCUCAGCCACUGGUGCCAGCUCCAGCCCUGGCCUGUGCCACUGUGUCACAAAUGUCCCCAGACUCAGCCACGAGUGUCACGAGUGUCCCCAAGCUCAGCCACGGGUGUCACGAGUGUCCCCAAGCUCAUCUGCUCAAGUCACGACUGUCCCCAGCCUCAGUCCUUGGUGUCACCGCUGUCCCCAGACUCAUCCGCUGGUGUCACGACUGUCCCCAGCCCCGCUCCCGGUACCAGCCCAGCCCCGGUCCCGCUGUCCCCGUGUCCCCGGUCCCCUCUCCCCGCUGUCCCCGGUCUCCUCUCCCCGUGUCCCCGGGCUCUGUCCCUGCUGUCCCCGGGCUCUGUCCCCGGGCUCUGUCCCCGCGCCCCCGUCUCCCCCCGCCCCGCCCCGGGGCCCUCUCCCCGUGUCCCCAGGCUCUCUCCCCGUGUCCCCAGGCUCUGUCCCCGCUGUCCCCGGUCCCCUCUCCCCGUGUCCCCGGGCUCUGUCCCCGUGUCCCCGGUCCCCUCUCCCCGUGUCCCCGGGCUCUCUCCCCGUGUCCCCGGGGGCCCCGCCCCGGCCCCCCCUGCCCCCCCCCCCCCCGUGACACGGGGCUGUUGGCACGUG
rnacentral:lncRNA from 1 species